rnacentral:lncRNA from 1 species
AUUACUUAUAGCUUUUAGAUUUCUAAUUAACUAAAGUAACAAUAUAUAUAUAUAUAAACAACUAUGAUAUAAAUGAGUAUUAUAAAUAGAUUCCAACUUUUGCAAAUAAUAUUGGGUAAUUAAACCUUCUAUUGAUAAAAAAAAAUAGAGCAUCAACAAUGGGAUCACAAAGAGUACCAGAAAAAUCUAAGCAUAAAUUAUUGUUCUUUGAACAUAUCAAAACAUUAGCAUGUUGGUCCCUGAAACAAAUUCCUUGAAAAAGCAAUCACACACA